UUUCACCAAUGUUAGCAGAGGGCAGAAUUCACCCGCUUGGUUCCAUAUGAUAUUCAACUAAGCCUGGAUAAUGUGUCAUUUUCAGCACUUUUUCCUUUGGGCUUGUCUACAUGCUUGGGACUGACAUCAAAGUGGGAAUCUUCAAUUGCAUCAUGCCACUGAAACAGGCUUUCCAGCUGCAUGUUCCCAGCUGUGACCAACUGAAGGGAGAGAAUUACCAAAUAAGAACAGGCUGAACAAGACAAUAAUCUCCUCCAAUCAAAGCCUGCCAGGGCUGAGAACGCUGUGCAGUCCUCUUCUAAGCUACUGCCAAAACUGCCUCUGCUAUUGAGCAGUGCCAUGGCCGUUCUGCUCAUCCCGCCAUUGCAUGCAUGUGUGAUAGUUCGGAUGACACGAAUGAUGGACGUGAUCUUCAUGUCUGACACAGAGAGGGAGCUGUUGAGGCUGCAAAUAGCAACAAGCAAAAAAAUCAAGAGUCAGGUGCAUCUGUACCAAAAUAACAGUCAUAUGGAUCGAUAGACCUUUGAAGGCCUCUGAAAACACUGUAGCUUCUGCAUCAUCAGAGCCAAGAACAGGCCUACCUCAAGUUUCAAGUGAUCCCUCUUCUCUUUCAUUUUUCUGAAAGAAUAUCUACACACAUGGAAAAGAUGGAUUUAUAAAAAAGCAAAGGAGUCAUGAGGGACCACAUAUUGACCAUACAGAGGUUAUUUUCUUGUGGAAAUCCUUGAACGUUGUGUGGAAAUGAGUCGAUGAACACAGUGUUACUGUAAGGUGAUCAUCCUCUAGACCUGAAGUGGGCAGUGCUGAGGAAGAUAACCAGAGCUGAAAGACCCUGCAGUGAUCCACUGAAAAAACUCAGCCAGCAGGUCCUGCUGGUACCUGUUCCAUGUGAGAAGUUUGACAAUGAAGAUAUGUAAAGCACAGGAUGUGCUACUCUAAAGGAGUUUCCGGCAUCACGCAGACUCUCCUGCCAGCCAAGGAAUGAGCGUGGCUUCAUCCCAAACCCAUCGUCGAAAUUCCUGAGUCACCCACAGGGGUGGCCACGGGGCGGGUCAAAGCUGUCCCUCUCCCAGGAUGCAGCGAGCGGCCACCGCUUUCUCCCAGACACUGACAGCUCUUUUUCUAAAAGGGGAACGCGUGUCCCCUGAUAGCACUGGAGCAUCAUUUUUGCAUUGGUUCCAAAUAAGUUCACAUUUUUGGGCAGCUGGUUCAAAAGCAGUUGCAAAUUCCCUUUAACACAGUUGCGUAAAAAGCAGGACCCGCCAAGCUCAACCGAGAAAAUAUGGAUUCCCAAGGAAUCUGGACUAGCUCCUAAGUUUCUGCUAAUUUUGUUCCCAAAGACAUCUGCUUCUAUUUGCGCAUUUCUUCAGAUACUAAAGACAAAAUUAGAAUACAGAGAUUUUGGUGUUAAAAGCAUAAGCGCAGAUGUGCUGAAACUGCCACAGCCCUUUUAAUGGUCAUGCUUCAGAGAGAGACUCUGGGAGCAACUGGUAGAAAUCAGUUUCCUGCCGUAAGCAUACUUUUGAGGUUUUGAACCUCCAAUAUAUCAGAAGACAGUGCCAGCCACUGAAUUAUGCUGCUAAGCUUCUUAGCAGAGCUCCUAAAAUCAUCACAGUAAUUUUCAAGGUGUUUUUCAAAUAUGGCACUUUGGGAAUCUGUUUCUGUGAACCCAUUUCUGGGAAGGUCUUGCACAAAUUCCAGGUACAAACAGUAACCCUGUAAAAUGCCCUAAAAUGUGCUGAGGCAAGCACUUCACUAGCUUUCCCCCUUCCUACAAAAAACAGCAAGUCAGAUCACAAAUUAUUACACAAUAUUGACUGCACUUCCAGGACUUCUUUUGCUCAAGCCUCAUAUACGAUUAUAAAAAGGUUACAUAAGAUGACAUUUUUUAAAGUGGAGGAGCCUCUGUUUACCAUUUAAACUAGGUAUUCUAAUUCAGAGCUGCUAGUUAUAAGGGAUGCUCCUUAGACUUCGGCUGUUCUCUGAAAGUCUGAUCUUCUUAAAUGAAGCAAGUAAGAAACAAAAUCCGAAACCACUUUUGAAAAAUUGGAUUGUAAUAUGCAGACCAUUAUUGACUGGUCUGUAAAUCUGCAAAGUAGUAGGAAGUUUUAAUCAACUUGGAUUUCUAGUGUGGAAGGAAAGGUCAAACUCCAACAGCAGCAAUCUUUCUCACGAUAAUGCAAAAUAUCUCCACUGAAUUGUCACUGGGAAAUUCACAGAUUUCCAGAAAUCACAGUGAUAUUUCAUUUUCAUCUUUUUAAAAGAGUCAAAGCUUCUAAACACUGAGUAGCUCAGGAGCCUGCAAAUUCCUAGAGCCAGGUCCACAAGACUGCUGAAAUGCUGAGAAGUUGUGAAAUUGGGAUUUCUGAGCUGUGGGACGAUCCACAAGGAGAACCUAGAGGUGCUUAGGAGCCACACGACUGCACUAAGGCUUCCAAAAUACCACAAGAAAUAAAUCAAUUUCAGAUGUUUUAAUAAACAGAAAGCCUGCCGGCUUUCCACCAGACUUUCAUGAAAAUUGAUGUUCCCACAAAAUGCUUCCAUUUUGACAAAUAUAUUCCAAUUAAAAAUAAAAUUUAAAAGCAUUGUGGUAGAGAAUUCCCCAAUUCUCAAUUUUUCAACAUAGUUUUGCUUCGUCUUUCACAAAUGAAAUCUCUUUAGUACAAAACACCACGAACCAGCAGGUGGUAAACCAGCACUUAGUGAUUGCCCUGUAAAAGUAUCCCAGUUCAACUGUAAGAAAGAAACUAAUUCACAUUUUAUCUGCCCAUUUAUCUUCUCUGAAUAAAAGGAGAAAAUUGUGGGGAAGAAGUCUGCCCAAGGGUUCAAUAUAUCUUAAAAAAAAAAAUCUUGCUGAUGUUUUCUCCUCCCUUCCCACACAGUAUACGAACCAGUAACGUUGUUUUUAUGUGGCACACAGUGCUGAAGGUUUAAGAAGAAAGAUAUGAAGCUGGACAACUAGGAGACAGUAAAGCAUGUUAAUGUUCCCCUAAUUGAGACAACAGCCUACAAUCAUUUCACCUCUUGAACAAAGGCAAGAUUCACAGACUGUCUUAAAGUUUGUGGUAUAGCACAUACUAAAUAUAGUCAAGCUAUGUAAAGCAGAGCAGCGAGGUGCUUUGGCACAUUUUCAGGAACUGCACAGAAGAAAGGCCAGCUACUUUCAGUUCAGAGCAGAAUGAGUCAUUUAUCACCAAAAGACCCAUUAAACACAAACAAGAUCCUGCAGAAACCUGCAAAGAAUGAGACUGUUACUGAAAGUACCAACCUAUCUGCCUUUUGUGAGCGGCCCCUAAAAAGAUACAGAGUAAACAGGACUUCUCGCUGAGUACUGACUCUGGUUUCCAAGGUUGGAGCUCACCCUAUGAGGUCCCCACCAGCCGACUGGCCUGCAACCAUCUGACUAUGGGUUGUGAAGCUCCCAGACUCUUCCAGCCAGAAAGAUGACACAACUCUGAAGGAAACCCAGAAGUUCAAGAAGUGAUAUUAAUAUUUGCAGUGGAGUAGAUUAUUUCUGUCUGUGCUAGCAAAGCACAAAUGCUUCAACUUUAUUUCAAGCAAGUACAAAAGGCAUUACUCUGAUGUCAGGUAUUUUUGAAACCCUCUUGUUUGAGGGGUGAGUCACUCAUUACGAGUUGAUGUAAAGGAUUUUACAUCAGAUCCAGAUUAAUUCUUCAGCUUGCUUUGUGAUUAAAUUGAGCAAUGUAAAUGCAUGUGUUUCUGCCAUAACAGCAUAAUUUCUAUCCUUUUUCUCCAUAUAUUGCAGUGAAAAACUUGAGAAAAAUGAAUACAAGUAUUUUUGCACAAACUUAAAAUUCACUUUCUAAAAAUACUAUGAUUAUGAUUCCAAGUUUUUGCAGAGGUAUUUGUGCUGACAGGUAUUACAUAUAGAUCUAUUCAGAAAAUAAAGAGAAUCAAGAACAUUAAUGGAAACUACAUAAACAAUUUGAGUUGUACAAAAGGAAAAAAAAGAAAGAAGAAGCCCUGGAUGGUCUUUGGUCAAAAGAGUACAUUUACUCUUGUUUUUUGCAGGGGAAGGUGUUUUUUUUAAGGUAGCCUCAUGCACUCUGGAUAUCUUAGAUUACCGUGAAAAAACACCUUUCCAGGUGCAAUCAUGUUGGGUAUCAGAGGAAAGAGCUCCCACUGGAACAACCAGCACCAGUUGCUGCAGAACUUCCUUCCAGAAUUUCUUUGUUUUGCUACAGCUGUUCAUGUUGUUGUGUGCUUUGGUUUGUAGCAAAAACAGAUUUUAAAUUGUUUUCUUAAAUCAGCCUUGAUAAUUUAUAAGCUUAUGCUAAAAGCAGGGUUAUCUUGGAUUUUUGAUAAAUACAGCAUGUUCAAAGACAGUGUGCUUGGUGGGUAAACAGUUGGAUGGGUAAAUCCCAGUGUGCUUGGAAUUGAAUAAUGCUACAAAAUACAGCUUAAAUGUCAAACAGCUGCUAUCAGUCCAUGCAGCAAGAACAUCUGCCAAGAUGCUGCAUGAGGCUGGUGGUGCUUUUUAAGUAUUGAGCUCUUACAUUGGAUUAGGCCUGCUUCUGCUCGUAAGUGGGGAACAGGAAUCUUACUGACAAUUUCAUGGAGAGCAGCAUCAGCUGUCCGCCGCCGCGCUACCACUGAAACCAUCUGUGAAUAAUUGUUUUGGGAAUAGACAAUUUAAAUCUGGCCUUUCAAAACAGUCUACUGUGACAGCAGGGAACAGAAGGUUACUUUGAUGCCAUUCUGGUUAAGGAAAUAUUAACAAUAUGAGACUCAGCAUAAAAAUUAACAUAUUUGGAAGAAAGCCAAGAAAAUAACAGAUUUUAUUUUUCCCUUUAUGUGCACACCAUGGUGAAUAAAAGUUCAGAACACAGGUUAAAGAAUCAUCUGCCAAAGAUUCACGUGAUGAUACCAUUUGCUGUGAAUUAGGUUUCAGAAGGCUGCAUUCAGGCACCUGAAGCCAAAAUGGUUUUUGGCCGAUGCCCUUUGGAAGGAGGAAGGACACAUUUCCAUCAGCCUCUGUUGUCUGGGGCCUCGAGCUGUCUCUGGCCUUGAGGACAACCAGAACUGAAGGUGGUUUUCUCUGCUGUUGGCCUUCUGAGCGGCAUCAGCCCUGCCCGCAGCCUUGGGUUUUCGUCAUCCUCGUUAGACAAAUCCAUGUGCUGAAGCUUUCCUUCAGAAGGAGCUGGAGCUAGUGUGAGUCAGCCUGCAAGGCACACUACAGAGCUAGGCAGAAAUGCCUGAACCAGCUUAAAAUGAUAGCACUCAGAUACCAGCAGCAGUGUCGGUAUGUUUAUGUUUAGAUUUAUUAUAUUGCCCUCGACUUCUGUUACUUGUUCUGCUUAGUUUCACACCUGUUUCAAAACCCUUGAACAGAUCCCGAAGUUCAGCACCACAAUGUCUGAAAUCAGUUACCGAAGUGAGCACCAGGCUUUAGCUGCCCUACCCCAACCGCCCAUCGCUGACUGAGCCUGUCCACACCAAAGUCACUUGCAAAUGUGGGCAAAACAAACUACAUUAAAGUAUUGUAGUUAAAGCCUUCUGCAGACUGGAAAACAUCUAACUUGCCAAGUGGGUUCAGAUCCCAUUGGAGUCCUUAACAAAAUCUGGAUUUUUCACCACAACAUGUAAGGUCAACAUGUGCUGAUAAUCUGGCUCGUCACCUCAGUACCUAAGUGGAUGGUCCUUUGAAAAAUCUAGGUCCCUCCUGUCAGUGCUGAGCUUUGUAUAAAGCCCUUCAGUUGCACAGCUGUGUUCUUGAGGUUUGCAAAUGUACAACAAUCAGCUGUCCGUGUCUGCAUUAUAUAUAAACAAAAGCCAACCUGCUUCCUCCACACAAACUGGAAACAAUGCCUGGAAGAUUUUAAAGCAUUCAACAAAGAUUAAAAUGAUUGUUUAGCAUGAAUAAAAUAUUUAUAUAUCAGUGCAACAUUUGGUUUCUGUUAAAGAAGAAGCUACAACACCCAUCCUUAGCCCAAGAAGUGAAAAAGAAUUCACAGGACAUUUACUCUCUGAACAGUAGGAAUUCUUUAGCCUAUUGACAAAUAUAAGAAAUUAGGGAUGUUUGACAUGUGGUGUUUGACUGCAUCACUGACAGAAAGCUUGCACCAAUCAUCAUUUCCAAGCAGCACGUCCAAACACAUCUCUUCUGAUUUCCUUAAAGAAAGCAUAAGGUACUUCAGAGGAAGGACACACUCUGGAUUUCUAGAGUCCAACAAAUGGUAACCUACUAGUCACAUUUGUGCCUUUCACAGAAACAUACUUUCUGCCAGAAAGCACUUUGUUAAACCAAAUUUCAUAGCCAGUGAAGGAAUCAAUGUUUUUGUCUUCCAAAGAGAUUCCUUUUAGCAAAAUUAUUAUCUCCAGAGAGAAAAAUGUAGCAUAAUUUCAGGAUAUAUAUGUUGUGAUCCAGGUGGAAAUUGCUUCUAUGUGAUUUUGACUUGCAUAGGAUUUAGGGCAGCAUUUACAACUCCAUCAAUUAGAUUUUUUUUUUCUUCUGUCUUUGAUGGUCAAGUUCACAGAAAUAAGUUGACUAUCAAUCAGGCAUGAGUACAUAGCAAUGCCUAACUCAUACCAGCAAGUGUGACAGCUGGAAAAAAAAGGUGGCACCACUGGUCCCCUGCCAUGACACUCAGGAGAGGCCCAGGCUCCUUCUCACCUCCUGGAGCUGGGAAGCCUUCCCAUGGCCAUUACUUCUUCGACCAGAAAAGCUGGAGGUGAGCUGCCUGUGCAGCCAGCUCAGCCUCUGGGAGGCAUGACACGCUCUGGCAGCACUGCUUUCCCACCCCAUGGCAAGGCGAGGCUUCCAGGAGCCAGGAACCAGCCCUUAGCCACGUGGCAGACAGGCUACGUCCUCCUCCACCACUACUAUAUUCAACGUGAUGUUAAACUUCUCUGAUAGAGCAAUUCUUAAAGUAGUUAGGAAUAGAUGACUCUGCUCUAUAAAAUGCAGUUUACAGGUCACUGGGGCAAUGUAUCCUGUAUUUUAUAUUCCUUUAACAUGUACAGCUCUUCCUGCUGCCUGUACCGUGACUGAAAAGGUGGUGCCCUGCACUGAAGUGAGCAGAGACCCUGCACAUUCGCAUGAUACCAGCUCUGCUCAGGGACAUGUUGAGCUAGUGCGGGAAGUGCCUUUUCCAUAAAGCCAUAGUACUGAUCCCACGUGCUGCUGCAGUUCGCUGGCUGAGGCAAAGGAGCUGUGCUUUCAGGUGCCAGGAUGAGCAUGAGAGCUCAUCCCAUGUUCUCCUAGUUCCCUUCCGCUGAGACUGAGUCUUCAGGCUUUUCCUGGGAUACAAAUGGAAGAUCCAUUUGUGCCUGUCAAGAGAACCAGUCUGUGAUAGGUCUGUGUAGUGUGACACCGUCUUCAUUUUAGCAUGGGACUGUCUCACGUAGAGUUGACAUCUCUAUUAAGGCACCUAGGUUGCAUUUUGGAAAGGGUAAACUGUUGUAGCUGUUCGACUGUGACUUGAAAUUUAGAUUCAGUUAUCUGCCCAGGUAUAGACUGAGUCCCUGGUGUUUGUUCUGUUUAAAGAAUAUUCUUUGUCUUCAAGAAAAAACUAUUGGUGUUUGGUUUCCUAUCAAUCAGCUUAUAUUUGAACAUACCACUUGUUUUUCUUCCCAAUACCUUUUGGGUGGACUUUUUAAAAGAAUAUAUGCAGCAGUUCAGGAUGUAAUAUAUGCAUUUUAAUUUUUGUCUUUUAUCGCCUCCAGCAAUUCAGGCAAUAGAGUCAAGUUCUACAUGAAAUCCAUCUUGGCCAUCAUCAAAACAAUAGUUGAAUCAACAUUUUCCCUUUUUCAGAAACAAUUAGGCAGCGAACAACAGAUUUACAAACAUAUUUAGGUGCUCCAAGAGACAGACAUAUACUUAACAGAUUUUCUGAGAUAUCAAAAACAAAUGAGGCACAUAAUUGCUUUUUAAAGCACGAGCAGCCUACAUCACCUUCAAAAAUAGAAGUUUAGACUUCCAAGUUGGUAAGGAGUUCUCCCUAAGUAACUACAGAUGUUAGUAAUUUUUUUUCCUUUUUAAAUAUAAUUUUAUUUAAUAAUUAAUCUAGAUUGAUUAUUCUUGUCUGGGGACAUCACAGCCCAAGUCUUUUGGAAAUCUGGCCAACUAAGUCACUGUAUUGAAUAGUAUGUAAUUAUCUGCAUGUUUUUGACAGCUUCAACAUCAAGGUUUCAAAACUGAGAUGAAAUAUUAAUAAAGUGACAAAACAUGACACUUGCCAUUUCUGAAUAGGUAUUCCUUAGGUAGAUUUAAUGCUUCCUCAAGUAUUCAUGGCUUGAUUUAAUUACAUUAAAUGCAUGCUGGUUUUGAAAGAUAUACUCUCCAGAGUAGCAGAAAGGGUGAUAGCACAGCAAGGAAAAUAAAAAGAAGAAGAAUAGGACAAAGUUAUUUAAAGUAAUGGAGGACUUUAUCAUAUUGCAUGAGGAAGUCAGUCCUUUUUCUAACAGGUAAAACAAGUAAGUAUAUGCCUUACCUGUGUGUUUAUUUCACAUAUCUGGAUUAUUUGUCUCCCCAGUAACAUUUCUGUUUGCAGAGCAUUAAACUUUAAGUGGAUCCAGAAGGAAUAUUGUUCAAAUCAAACUUUCUGUUCACCCAGGAAAUUAGAAAUCUUUGCAUCAGCUCUGAGUCACAUGUUCUUUAAAAGCUUGUAUUUACAACUUUAUACGUUUCUUAUUUUGCCACUAGGAUGUUAUGACUGAGACUGCUGUCUCAGUGGUCCAGAGGCAACAUUGGAAUCACUUUUUUCUCACUAACAUAUGUAAUGAUGGAGAUAUUCACUCUGCUAAUAAAAGACUAACUUCAGUCAGUCUCUUCAGGCUGCUUUUGCUCAGCUUGUGGUUUUUUUGAACACUGACUGCCCUGAGGAGGCCCAUGGAACUCACGUCAGUCAGGCCGGAUAUGGAGCUAUUCUUAAAAAGAAUGGAACUAUUUUUAAAAAGGUAAUAAUGAUAAUGAAAUGUGAUAAUAAAGUGAGCUAGCCUUAGAAAAUAUAGAUUUAUCAAUCACUCACAAUGUGUAUUUAAGAAUUCCCUUAAGUUUAUUAGACCAAUAUAAUGAUUCUCAGUGUGACAGACUUGUUCUGCUUUUCCAACUGAUGAGGAUAAAUAUUCUCCCAUAUUCUUUUUCCCCUGAUCCUUGGCUCUCAGAAGUUGGUGGCACAAAGUUGUUGCUUCUAUGCCCAGUCCAGCUGGCUGGGGAAGAGAUGGUUAAAUGCCUUGGCUUUGCACUACCCCAUCCACAGAGGGUAAUUUGCUCCAAGAGCUACUAAAAUGAAGACUGUAGCUCUGAGUCAAACAUCCCAGGUGAGCAGCCUGUGCUGAGGACAGACUUACUCCUAGACCAUAGAGUUUCCUCCAGCUUUAGAGGCUGUGCUUCACAGCCCUUGAAAAGGGACUUGAGGUUGCCUAGGAACAUGAAUGUAUUGAGUGAUGACUGCCUGAAGGACCAUAUUAAAGCAGGCUAAAGGAAUGGAGAGAAGUAUGAACAGAAAAAAAGCUCAAAGGCAAUAUCAUCAUUUGUUAUUUUUGAAACUGGCAACAUAAUGAGAGGAGUAGGUGAUAAGCCAUCAACAUAGAUGGACUGAAAGUCAUAGAAAAACAAAUUACAGGUUAAUCAGGUGUGGGCAGACAGAGCUGAGAGUGCUCGGUGAUGGUGAGAACAGGAGCUCCCUAACAAAGGGUUCGUGGAAAACAGGACAGGAAAGGACUUCCACUAGACGCGCUCAACUACCCCAAAACCAAAUGAGUAGGUGGAAUGACUGGGAGAGUUGACUGAGGUUUGUGGGUUGAAGACAGGAGAUCAAGGAAAUUUGGUCCAGGAGUCAAAACAAGAGAAGAGGGCUGUUAGAGAGGAGUCAGCUCAGCAGUAGAAGGCAGGAGCAUGGAGCAGGAGAGAAGAGCUGGAUGUGGUAUCCUUCAGCAGACAUCAGAAACUGGGAAUAUUAAAGAGGAAAUGACAGCUGGUACUGCUCGAAGAGAAGAUAUCAGGCUGAAUGUUAGUACAGCUUCUCAUGCUCAGCCUCGUGACUGAGAUUGUUAAAUAUUUGCAUUAACAAACUCAAGUCAAAAGGUAGGAGAGUGCACAAAAAUAAAUGACAUUCUUAACUUCGUUAAGCCUGCCAUAACAGAUGGGAGGAAAUGAAUUAUUUCAUGGACAUGCAAGGUCUGGGAAUGAAGAAUAUGAUCAAAGAGGCGGCUUGUGAUCAGCUGGAAAUAUCUGGAGAGGGGAGAAACCCACAGAUAUGAGCUGACCACAGGAUAACAACGAAAAGUCAGAAUGAUGAAUUCACAAAUAAAGGCAAAAACAUUCCCAGGAUUUUCAAGGAGAGGAACAGUUUUGUAUUGUGCAAGAUAUUGGUGAGGAUGUAUUGAGAAUAUUGCAUGUUCCAGUCAUCUGUGCUCAAUAAAGAUUCAAAGUAGAUCAGACUGGCUACUAAGAUGGUCAGAGGACUGGACAGACUCUCAGCUAAGGCCACUAGAGAUCCUUGGCUAGUCUAGAAAAAUUAAGGUUGAAGGGAAAUUAAGAGCAUGUUUGCUGUCUAUAAAUUCCUACUGGAGAGGAAACCAGGAAGGAAAAGGGUUACUUGUUUUACAGGACAAUAUUGGCACACGAGCUAACAAAUAUAAACUAGUCAUGAAGAAAUUUUGGCUCAAAAUUAUGAAUACAAAGAGAAGUGAUGUUGUGUAAAAAUGCCUUCUGGGAGUAGUGGGCUAAAAAAUUAUUUUUUUUAUUAGAAUACAAUUCACUCCUUAUUGGAGGGAUGAUGAAGAAGCUCUUUAAGUGCUUUAGAAGAACAGAUGUUGUAAAUCUUGACCUGUUUGUGUGGAACUGUUCUCUGUUUACCUCUGUUGGGUCUUCAGAUCUCCACUCAAAACUCACCAUCACCUCCAGCCCAUAUUCCUAGUUUUCAAAUGUUCUCUUCAGUGAGAGAUAUCCUUUGACAUUUCAUACCUAGGUAACUUUCAUCAGGAAGCUAUGCAGCCCAGCUUCCAGAGCCAAACACUUUAUUUGCAUCUUCUUUCCUUUGGCUAUCUUCUGCUGUGACAUCGGCUGCUAGUUUUCUUUGCCUAGUUCCCAUACUUAAAGAAAAAAGAUUGAAAAUUCUCCAAAUUCCCAUGUUUCUGGUCUCCAUUUGCAGCUGGCCUUUGUGGCUUUGGUCUAGAUCAGAUCUGCCUCUUUGUUCAGGCUUGGCAGUCCCUGCCGAUCUGCCAUGAUCAAAGGCAGGAAGCAUCCAGCACACAUUCAUCCCAAGACUUCUGGCCCAGUUACAACAUAGUCCCUAAACAGCCCCUGAAAUAUAGUUCCCUAGGCUGUGAUGUGUUGUACACCCACACAGAGGCUCGCUGACUUCACUAUGGUUCUGCCCAUGCAUGUUUUCCUUCCAUAGUUAUGGCAUUUGUAUAGGAAAACUUCAUAUCAUUUGAAACCCUCAGGCAGAGGAAAAAAUACGAAUUGUACUUAGGCAGUCUUUUGUGUCUUUGUAAGAGAUAAAAUUGUUUUGAAAUAUGGUUGUUUUGUUUUUGUUUUUUUCCCAAACAAACGCAAGUCUUCCCUUUAUUUGGCUUGUUUUUUUUGCAGUAUAAAUUCAGGUUUGUCUUUCUUCCAAGGCUGUGUGAUGACAAGGGAACUGCUGAAUGAUGAUGUCAUGACAGACUAAAGAGAAUACAAUUGAGCAAUUUGACAGGAAACCUGACUUUUAGUUGGACUGUACACAAUCCUUUGUUUUUUAUUGGUUAACCACUCCAAUACAAUGACUGAUAUUUUUGCCAUUUCAACUAAGUCAUGACAGGUCAUGAUAAAAUUCCUAAAACCUCUUCAGAGUUUCUCCCAGGUGAAAAAAAGGAACAAUAAAAUUGACAGUCAGAAUGCUUCAGAAGACCAUAGACUCUCACUUCAGCAUGAAACAUGUUUAAACUGAUCUAAUGUAACAGGAACCCAUAUAACCUAAAACGGUUAACAACCUACAGUCAGGUAAGAAAAGACGUAACAAUUCUAGUAUUAGCCAAGUAAGGUAUCAAAUAGGAUAUUCUUCAGAGUUGGUAAACCAGCAAAAGAUUACAUAAUUCAGACUUUUAAAGUCCCCUUCAAAUCCACUUUUGAAAUUCUUUGCAGCAGAUCUUGCCUCUCCAACUGUGUUUCUAGCCAUAAUUUAGAGAAACAAUGUGGCAUGUGCUGAAAAAAGUUAAUAUGGCUGGAUGCUUGACAUUUCUGGAAACUAUACUUUUGUCAAAAAUGGAAAAAUAACUUGGAUUUAAUCGUUGUUUUAUUAAAGGAAGCAUCUUAUUUGAAUACCCAUCCUAUAAAGAACUACCACAAUUAAAGUCAUUGUCAGCAGUUUCUGGUCUGAUCACAAACUCGUCAUUAACAAGGCAGUGAUCAUUAGCAAGGUGGCAAUACCAACAAGUCUGAACGCAGAAAAUCUGGAAAUAUACAUGAUCACAGAUUUUCAGUGUGAGGACACCCACCGUUCAAGAAAGGCCAAUAGGUAUUAAAAUCUUUAAGUUGUAUGUUGCCAAGUGUACAUUUCUUGCUCACUUUUUCACACCAAUACCACCUCUUAUAUUUUUUUUUUACCAACAUUACGACUACCCAGCUGCACAGUCCAUCACAAGUUCCUUUGACACAUUCAUGUUCUUAAACCUUUAAGAAUUUCUUAAACUUUUAAGAAUGAAGUACUAAUAUCCAUAUUACACUGGACUACUUACCCAUCUCUUCUUAUCUAUCCAGCAAUGAGGUCUGAGACUGAUCUAUUGCAGCAAACAACUCCACAGGUUGACCAUUUGUGGCAUAAAACACUGUGUGUGUGUGCAUGUGUUAUUUCAUUUUCUUUAACUUAAUUCAGUUGCCCCCUACUUUUGUGAUGGCUUCAAAUCAAAGCUGUACUCAGUGGACGCUCAGAAAGAUUUCUCUCAUCAUGGGAAAAACGGACAACUAAGUCAUCAUGAAAUUCCUGUUCAGUCUAAAAUGUAUUAAAGAUUGAUUUUCCUGCUUAAGGGAAGGAAAUUUUAAAACUCACUAUACAGUAUUUAGCAUCUGAAAGCAAAUUGCCCACUGAUUUUCAUAGGACUGUAUUCCCUUUCCUAGGAUAUUUGUGUGUUAUGGUAAUCCUAUACAAAUUGCAUGGAUUGCAUUUUUCUGGAUUUGUCUGUUGAAAGAACAGUAUCUCUACAGAUCUUUCGAAGUAUUUGUAUCGUAAUGAUGAAGGCUUAAAUUGUCCAUUGAUCUACUGAUACAGUGUUAUUCAAUUCCUAAUUAUAUCUUUUAUGUCUGUGAGUAAAUGUUUUGUUUGGUCCCCUAAAUUACUCCAAAAUUACUAUGUCUGUGCCUUCUUUCUAAAUUAGUUCUGAAAAAUCGGAGAAACCUCUGUACCUAGUUUUAUAGGACUUAUAGGACUGUUCUCUAAUUUUUUUCUCUUUUUUUGAAACUGCUUACCUUUUUGUCAUGAGAAUUCUCUUCUGAGAAAAUUCUAGCAGCUACCUGUGUGUCUUUGUCAGCUGAAACGUUGCUUUUGAAGACAAAAUACAAACCCAAGUUCUUUUGUAUAUGCAAUUGCACUAUAGGAGGAAAUGAGAGACGUCAUUAAAUUGACCUUUUUAAA